AUUGAACGCUGGCGGCAGGCCUAACACAUGCAAGUCGAACGGUAGCAGGAAGAGCCUUGCUUCUUUGCGGACGAGUGGCAGACGUGUGUAAAAUGUGUAGAAAACUGCCUUAUGGCGGGGGAAAACUCCUGGAAACGGUACCUAAUACCGCAUAUCGUUGCAAGACCAUAGAUGGGGAGUGACAGACGUCCUGCCAUCCGCUGUUCCCAGGAUGCAUUAGGUUGUUGGUGGGGGAACGGCUCACCAAGGCGACGAUCCCUAGCGGGUCUGAGAGGGUGACCAGCCACACUGGAACUGAGACACGGUCCAGACUCCUACGGGAGGCAGCAGUGGGGAAUAUUGCGCAAUGGGCGCAAGCCUGACGCAGCCAUGCCGCGUGUGUGAUGUAGGCCUUCGGGUCGUAAAGCACUUUCAGCAGGGAGGAAGAGAUUUAAGUUUAUACCUUCACUCAUUGACGUUACCCACAGAAGAAGCCCCGGCUAACUCCGUG
rnacentral:rRNA from 1 species